GGAGUGUAGCUCAGCUGGUAGAGCAUCGGUCUCCAAAACCGAGGGCCGGAGGUGUUCCGUCCGUCGG
rnacentral:tRNA from 1 species